UACGUAGGGGGCAAGCGUUGUCCGGAUUUAUUGGGCGUAAAGAGCGUGUAGGCGGCCUGAAAGGUCAGCUGUGAAAACUCGAGGCUCAACCUCGAGACGUCGGUUGAAACCACCUGGCUAGAGUCCGGAAGAGGAGUGUGGAAUUCCCGGUGUAGCGGUGAAAUGCGCAGAUAUCGGGAAGAACACCCGUGGCGAAGGCGGCACUCUGGGACGGUACUGACGCUGAGACGCGAAAGCGUGGGGAGCGAACAGG
rnacentral:rRNA from 1 species